rnacentral:rRNA from 1 species
GGGGGAGGUGCAACUCCACCAUUGUGACCUACCUCACCGUUGCUUCGGCAGGUGGCCCCCGCCGGGGCCGCGCCGGCCCCCCCGGGCCGGCAACCUGUCAGAGGACCGAAACGCUUAGUCAUCAUUGGCCUCUCUGAGUAACUUAUACAAUAAGUCAAAACUUUCAACAACGGAUCUCUUGGUUCUGGCAUCGAUGAAGAACGCAGCGAAAUGCGAUACGUAAUGUGAAUUGCAGAUUUCAGUGAAUCAUCGAAUCUUUGAACGCACAUUGCGCCCGCCAGUAUUCUGGCGGGCAUGCCUGUUCGAGCGUCAUUUCAACCAUCAAGCCCCCGGCUUGUGUUGGGGCCCUGCGGCUGCCGCAGGCCCCUAAAUCCAGUGGCGGGCUCGUCGUCGUACCGAGUGCAGUAAACAUCCUCGCUCAGGGCGCGCGUCGGGUUCUUGCCGUGAAACACCCCACAUAUCAAGGUUGACCUCGGAUCAGGUAGGAAUACCCGCUGAACUUAAGCAUAUCAAAAACCGGAGGAAAGA